CAAAGAAUAGUUUAAAAAAAUAAUAAUUUUGGAGAUUAUAGAUAAAGAAAAUCUUUUUCUUUGA
rnacentral:tRNA from 3 species